GGGGGGAAUUUCACUGGAGGUUUCUGUAUGCCUGAGGUCUUCUGAAGGUCAUGAGUGCUUGAAGGGAGUCUGAACUGUCUGGUACUAGAAAAAUAUGCCCCUGAAGAUGAGUGAGGCAAGGCUUCAGGUGGAAAUAGCAGCCUCCACUCCCACCCUGCAGCAAAUGCUGCUGCCCUGAAUGGGCCGGUUCUCAGCUGUCUGCUGAAAGGGCAUGCAGGGGAAGGCUUCCUGCUCCUGAAGCAGUUGGUGCUGGAUACUAUCAGAGCUGGAUCUAACCAAGUAAGCUGGCUGAACGAGACUACUGAAAUGAUGAUGACUUUGGGCAGCAUUAUGGGCAUGUGCCACAAGGACGGAAGUCAGUGCAUUUUUCUGGCUGCGGAGUGAUGUGAGCUCCAGUGCUGGCAGCACUCCUUACUCUCCUGGUUCAGAAGUGCUGCUGCCUGCUCCAUGGCUGAGGCACCAGAGGAGGAGGUCUGCGCACAGCACUGUCUGCAUACCAUAAUACACCACCAACCACAUAUGGUUGAAUUACAGCAAGUGCACAAUAACCUGUAGCAAAAUGGCAUUUGCAAGAUAAUUUCUCCAGCCCACUUCCUCAGAGGGCAUCUAGGAAGUACCAUCCUUCCUUUCUUAGCAGAUCCACUGAGCUACAGAACAUCAUUAUGAAGGUGCUUCUCUUUCCAGGCUGCCUUUAAAACCCUGACUUGCAAAUUUGUACGGGAGAAUUCUCUGGCCAGGCCUUUCAUCUUCAUGGAUCAGCACUUCCCAGAGGGUCUGCCACUCAAAUGUGCCCUCCCCGGUACCUGUUUGGCCUGGUCCCUGGCAUCCUUUCCAAGCAUUUCAAUUGAUGUCACUGCUCUUGGCUCAGCAAAUAAUCCUUCUAAUCAAUGACAAGAACAGAGGCUGCAGCUCAUCAUUGCUUAGCAGGGCUAAGAGGAGUACACAGUAAUAAAGCAUUACUUGAGCAAGUGAGCUUGAAAAUAUGGCUGACCACACACGGGCAGCAGCUGUGGUGAAUGAGAUGUCAUUUUUUUAAAAUAAGGACAAUAGUUUUGGUCCCUCAUGAUUAGGAGAUCGUUACAAAGCCAGCAGUGUACCUAGGAGCCUCCUUUAACCCAGCAUGACUCUAUCUGCACUGUACCAUGUCAUAGUGUCAGGGCAUGACCCUCAAAAAGAUAAGAUGCUUUGCCUUUGUACAGCAAGGAACCAGGAGACACCAAGCUUGUACAGGCUAUUGCAAUGCAUUCUGUGCAUCGGUGUCUGGGAACUUCCAGUGUGAAGACACAGUUGUGUUGUCUUUGUGUAGCCCUGUAGUCUCCAGAAUUGAAAUGUCAUAACAUAAUAACAUUCCCAUGGGAGCGGAGUAAAGAGUGCCACUUAAAUUGUGGGUGGAGCUGCAUUCCUCCAAAACACCACAUCCAGCCAAACUCCUGUGGAAAACAACUUCUUGAAUCACGCCAUAGCCAGGCACUGGCAGCACUUGCUCCCCACCAUCAUACAGCCAGUAAAUGCCAGGAGUCCCAGGGAUAGGCAUGGGAGAGCUGGGGGUUCUCCUCAGCCUGCCCAUCCCAUUGUUCCAGAAAGGAUGUCUGAGGAUUAAUUAAUUAUCCUACAAGGGGCAGUAAGUAAUAACACUCCUUGUGGAACAAUAGAAGCUAUUUGGUUGCCAUGGCAACUCAGCUCCACUUGUGUGCCUUUAAUUUAUUCAUUGCACAGUCCCUUCCCCAGUCACACACAAUGCCAAAAAAAUGCCUUGUUUUUCUUGCCAAUCACCAUGUCCAGAGCAGGGGUAAGACACAGCCCUUUCCCCGGGGCAUCUGU